rnacentral:rRNA from 1 species
CUUGAAGGAUACACCUGUUCCCAUGCCGAACACAGAAGUUAAGCUUCAACACGCCGAAAGUAGUUGGGGGAUCGCUCCCUGCGAGGAUAGGAC